UUGUAUUAUUUGAUUAACGUGGUUAAGUUUUACUUGUUUGACACAAAUGAACCAAAAUAAACAUUGCCAGAAUUGUCCACACUGAGUAUGGCUAAAAUUAGCUAAUAGGCUAAAAAGUACUUUGAACUUACACAUGUUAUACCAUAGUAUAAAGUAUAUUUAAUGAUAGAGUCAAAGUUAUUACUUUAGCUUAUAUAUGUAGCCUUUGAGAAUUUCUUUCAGAAAUUAAAACAUCUGAAAGAGAAAAGUUAUUUGGCAUGAUGGAAUGAUUUGAUUGCCUACACAUUGCACAUGUAAAAUGUUAAAUACUGUUCUGUAUUAAAAGCUCAGCAUAAGUGUUUGAUUAACUUCCUUUGCUUUUGUUUUGUACAAAGGAAGAGCAGAACCUAAUCCAAAUAAAAAUAAACAAGCUGUUAAAAGCCAGUUGAAGGUGGUCAACACAAACCAAAUGAAGAUGUUGCACAUUCCACAAACAAUAAAAAAGAAGAUCAAGUUUUGUGUCCAACACACUUGGAUGAGACGUGCCCGACCCCUGACUUUGUCUACCCUACAUUAAGUUGUGAUGGCACACUUCAUGACAGUAAACAUCGGUAUCAAGAUGAUGUGAUUGAUCUAUACCCUAGAAUAAGCUGUGACACUAUGAGACGGUGCCAUAAUGAACAGCCAUCUUCCAGACAACCGAAACAGGCAGAGUAUUGUUUUCUUGUGUAUUGUCAUACACCUAAAGAGGAUUUUUUGUAAUUGUACAGUUAUGGCGUUAUUCAUUCAUUAAUGUGUCCUUUCUUACCUUAAAUAACUUGUCAUUUUUCACUCCUUUUGUUUUUAAUGUCUAUAUAGUAUUGUCUACAAUACCAAAUUCUGGAUUGACGCCCCAGUACCAGAAGGCACUCCAAUCCCAGAGAGCAUCCCAUUGUAUGUGAGAACUUUACAGUCACAUCUUAUUUUAAGCAGAUUCUACUAGGGAUGCACAAUAUAUCGCAUGUGAUUGUCAUUGCACAUCUUGUCAGUGAAGCUGGUUCCAUGAUCGCGAUCACCUGCUUUCAGAUGGAGCGGCAUUUACUACACAAAGCCUUAGUUCACUGACAAUUGGGGCAAUUUCGCAUUAAUUAUCGGGGACGCAUCUCCUGCAAUACAUGCGAUAUGGACCAGCUUGUCAGUUAACCUCAGCUUUGUGUAGUAAAUGCUGCUCCAUCUGAAAGCAGGUGAUGGCAAUUUACUACUAAUCAAGGAACCGGCUUCAAUGACGAGAUGCGCAUGAUAUCGCAUGCAAUUUAUCAUGCAUCGCUGGAAACUACAUUAGUGACAACUAGGCCUGUCGCGAUAAACGAUAAAUCGAUUAAUCGCACGGUAAAUAAAAUGAGUUCGAUCAUUUUUUUAGCCCGCGAUAAUUCACAUUUGCAUGCUUGUUUGUUUUCCUUGUCUCUCUCUCUCUCUCUACCAAAGAGACUGGAUGACCGCUCCGUGCAACGAGUGACAAGGAGUGAACCCUCGUCAGUCAUUUGUCAGUCGCAUGAUCUGUGUGGGGAGGGGGGACUCCUGACGUAGCCUAUCACAGUAGGAGUACUGAGGAGGAUGAGCGCCGCGUGAGGAGUGUAGCAGGAGAAAACACUAGUUAAGACGAGAGUUGGAGAAAAAGAUGGAUUUACUAGAGGCUGUUUACACUUGUCAUUAACAUGCGUUUUUAUCGAUCGGAUCACAAUGUUUUACGUCUUUUCUGACUUUUCUGACACAAGGUGAACAGUGCUAUUUUAGCCUUUCAUUGAUAAACUAAAGCGGGUGAUCUCCGCAGUUUCAUUUUGCAAGCGUGUGAAAGUUGCGCGAUCUUAUUUCAUCAAUUGCGCUGAAAAUUCAGAGAAAGCUCUAACAUAUAAACGUACAAAACACUGUGCAGCAUGUAUACUUGCUAAACAAGCAGCGGACUCCGACAUAAUAUUAGUUUGCGUCCAUAUAAACUCAUAAUUACUCCCGCUGGCGUUCAAAUGACAGCGGAGAGACUCGCCCACCGUCUCACGGACCGUCCCCUCACAGUAUUCAGCACAGAAGCGGUCGAAAGUGGACAAAAGAGACGGAUUUAAAUACCAGGUGUAAAUGUGAUAUGUCUCUCUCGUCCACUUGUGAUCUGAUCAAAAACACAUCUUGAUACCAAGUGUAAACAGCCAAGUUUCAAAACCAAACGCUACAGCUGCAGUGUGGGAGUACUUUGGAUUUAAACCUAAUGACGGAGGUGAACCACUAAACCUGAACGAACCACUAAACCUGAACGAGCCGUUAUGUCGCAUUUGUGGUAAUAACGUAGCACUUAAAAGUGGCAACACGACAAACAUGCAUAUGCACCUAAAACGCAAUCAUCCUGUUAUUUUGUUCAUUUCUUGUGGAUAUUUAAAAUGUCUUCCAGUUCCAGUAUUACUUAUUGUUUAGAAAUAAAAGUUUAUAGAUCUUUGAAAAGGUGUAUCUGCAUUAUUAUAAUGGUCCCGGAGCAUCAAUGUUAUCGCCUAUCGCGAUAAAUUCCGAGGCAAUUUAUCGCCUAGCAAAAUUUGUUAUCGUGACAGGCCUAGUGACAACACAGCUUAGAGUAUAAACAUGUACAUUUCUCUGAAUUUCAGUUAAUAGUUACAAAUAAAGAGCUUAUAAUGUCUGUCAUUGCUCAACCACAAAGACCUAAAGUACAGCCAUCUGAUUUCAUAACUAAUGCAGUAUUACACUGUGAAGUGAUUUACUGUUAAUAUUUUACACUACCAUAUAAUUAACUAUAUUUGUACAGGUGAGGUAACACAACGAAAAAAUAACAGGAUGGAGACUACCUGAUUCUUCACCUAUGGCCUUAGCUUCAAAUGCAAGAAGUCCAGCAACUUUCUGAGCUGGUGGAUAUUCUAUCAGAGACUGCAUGAACAACGUUAUGAACAGAAUGAUGUCUAAUUGUCUUAUGGCAAAGUUCAAUAUGAGGGGUGGUGGACAUCUGGAAAAUAAGUCUUUUAAAGGCACACCUUUGUAUUAUGUUAUUCAAGAUGCUGUGAGGAGGUGGAGCCCAAAAGCCACGGACUCGGAAAUCGAUGCAGCUAUGGCAGACCACCUCAAGCACGCUCCAGGAAGAGAGCUAGGGGUUGUGAAUACAAAAAAUAAGCCAAACAGAUGUAAUGUGUUAGAGAUAGUUCACACAAAAAUUAAAAUUGUUAUAAUUUUCUUACCCACGUGUUUCAAACCUGUAUACAUUUCUAUUUUUUGCUGAACACAAAGAUUGAAUAAUGUUUGUAACCAAGCAUUUCUCACAACCCAUUAACUGUCAUAAUCAUUUUUUUUUACAAUUGUAGUAAUGGGUUGUGAGAUCUGCUUUUUUAAAAACAUUCUUUCAAAUAUCUUUGUGUUCCGCAGAACAUAGAAAGAUAUACAGGUUUGAAACAUGAGAGGGAGUAAAUGACUAAAUAUUCAUUUUUGGGUGAACUAUCCCUUUAUAUAAUAAAGUAUUUUGAAAUUGUUAUUAUAGUAAAAAAAAUAAAAGUCUUAAAUCAGAACAUGCUUCUUUUUUGCUCAUGUCCACAAAUAAUGUGUUCUUUAAUGUGUUUAAUGCCUAAAGACCUACACCAAGCGACAAGUGCUAUGGUUGUUAGCUUAUAUACAUUCUGAAAAUUUCAUGUGUACUUUAUGUGAAUGGAGGCCUAUGAUUAUUGCUUCUGACUGUAGGGUAAUUAAAUAUAAGGUAGCCUAAACACAUGAAAGACUAAACAUCACAUAGGCCAUAAAUCCCAAAAAUAAGGCAUAGCUGGCAUUGAUCUGGUACGCGGAUCUGUGCCGCAUCUCUAUGCGGGACUGGGCCAGCUCUGUUCCAUUUCCAGUUCAGAUUCGUGAAACUGAUCCUGACCACUUCUUGGCCGAUGUGCGUUUGGACACUGGACCGUGUUAGUUAAACGGAUCUGAUGCGGAUGGAACGGUAUGUGUGGGCCAGCUCCACCCCAGUGUUGUUUUACUGUUUUGGUACGAGAGUGGGCCAGGGCUGACCCAUCUCUGGUGCAGAGCCAUGAAACAAAUCCUGAUCACUUUUGGCCCGUUGUGCAUUUGGACACUGGACCAUGUCCGUGAGAUGGAUCCGGGGUGGAUCGCAUGGUAGGUGUGGGCCAGAACCACCCCAGUGUGGUUUUGCUAUC